rnacentral:tRNA from 1 species
GGUCGCGGUGGCCGAUCCGGCGGUGGCCCGGCGGGUCGACAGCGCGCUGAGCGCCAGGGUUCCCGGCGGGUUCGACGUCAGCGCGGUCGCC